UUGACUGGGGCGGUCUCCUCCUAAAGAGUAACGGAGGAGCACGAAGGUUGGCUAAUCCUGGUCGGACAUCAGGAGGUUAGUGCAAUGGCAUAAGCCAGCUUGACUGCGAGCGUGACGGCGCGAGCAGGUGCGAAAGCAGGUCAUAGUGAUCCGGUGGUUCUGAAUGGAAGGGCCAUCGCUCAACGGAUAAAAGGUACUCCGGGGAUAACAGGCUGAUACCGCCCAAGAGUUCAUAUCGACGGCGGUGUUUGGCACCUCGAUGUCGGCUCAUCACAUCCUGGGGCUGAAGUAGGUCCCAAGGGUAUGGCUGUUCGCCAUUUAAAGUGGUACGCGAGCUGGGUUUAGAACGUCGUGAGACAGUUCGGUCCCUAUCUGCCGUGGGCGCUGGAGAACUGAGGGGGGCUGCUCCUAGUACGAGAGGACCGGAGUGGACGCAUCACUGGUGUUCGGGUUGUCAUGCCAAUGGCACUGCCCGGUAGCUAAAUGCGGAAGAGAUAAGUGCUGAAAGCAUCUAAGCACGAAACUUGCCCCGAGAUGAGUUCUCCCUGACUCCUUGAGGGUCCUGAAGGAACGUUGAAGACGACGACGUUGAUAGGCCGGGUGUGUAAGCGCAGCGAUGCGUUGAGCUAACCGGUACUAAUGAACCGUGAGGCUUAACCUU
rnacentral:rRNA from 1 species